rnacentral:rRNA from 1 species
GACGGGACCCGCACAAGCGGUGGAUGAUGUGGUUUAAUUCGAUGCAACGCGAAAACCUUACCCACCUUUGACAUGGCAGGAAUCCUGAAGAGAUUUGGGAGUGCUCGAAAGAGAACCUGCACACAGGUGCUGCAUGGCUGUCGUCAGCUCGUGUCGUGAGAUGCUGGGUUAAGUCCCGCAACGAGCGCAACCCUUGCCAUUAGUUGCUACGAAAGGGCACUCUAAUGGGACUGCCGGUGACAAACCGGAGGAAGGUGGGGAUGACGUCAAGUCCUCAUGGCCCUUAUAGGUGGGGCUACACACGUCAUACAAUGGCCGGUACAGAGGGUAGCCAACCCGCGAGGGGGAGCCAAUCCCACAAAGCCGGUCGUAGUCCGGAUCGCAGUCUGCAACUCGACUGCGUGAAGUCGGAAUCGCUAGUAAUCGCGGAUCAGCAUGUCGCGGUGAAUACGUUCCCGGGUCUU